CAGCAGCCGCGGUAAUACGGAGGGUGCAAGCGUUAAUCGGAAUUACUGGGCGUAAAGCGCACGCAGGCGGUCUGUCAAGUCAGAUGUGAAAUCCCCGGGCUUAACCUGGGAACUGCAUUUGAAACUGGCAGGCCAGAGUCUUGUAGAGGGGGGUAGAGUUCCAGGUGUAGCGGUGAAAUGCGUAGAGAUCUGGAGGAAUACCGGUGGCGAAGGCGGCCCCCUGGACAAAGACUGACGCUCAGGUGCGAAAGCGUGGGGAGCAAACAGGAUUAGAUACCCGCGUAGUCCCUGUCUCUUAUAC
rnacentral:rRNA from 1 species